CCUACGGGGGGCUGCAGUGGGGAAUAUUGCACAAUGGGGGAAACCCUGAUGCAGCGACGCCGCGUGAAGGAAGAAGGUUUUCGGAUCGUAAACUUCUAUCAGCAGGGAAGAAGAAAGUGACAGUACCUGACUAAGAAGCCCCGGCUAACUACGUGCCAGCAGCCGCGGUAAUACGUAGGGGGCAAGCGUUAUCCGGAAUCACUGGGUGGAAAGGGUGCGUAGGCGGUAGGGCAAGUCAGAUGUGAAAGCCCGGGGCUCAACCCCGGGAUGGCAUUUGAAACUGUCUUACUAGAGUGGAGGGGAGAAAGAGGAAAUCCCUUGGGUAGGGGUGAAGUGGGGAAAUAUUAGAAAGAACCCCAGUGGCGACGGGGCCUUCCGGGCCUAUAACGUCCGCGGAGGCACGAAAGCGUGGGGAGCGACAAGGAUUAGAUCCCCCGGUAGUC
rnacentral:rRNA from 1 species